UUGUGAUAAUGUAUCACAUGGGAGGAAAGUCAUGUCUCAGUGACUGUGUACCAGUGUGUGUGUGUGCUCAUAGUGUAUGCAUGUAUGUGUGUGCAUGUGUAUGCAUGUGUGUGUAUGUGUAUGUGUGUAUGUGCUCAUGGUGUGGACAUGUGUGUAUGUGUGUGUGUGUGCUCAUGGUAUGUGCAUGUGUGUGUGCUCAUAGUGUGUGUAUGUGUGUUCAUGUCUGUAUGUGUUUAUGGUAUGUGCAUGUGAGUGUGCCCAUGUUUAUGCAUGCGUGUGUGCAUGCAUAUGUAUGUGUGCUCAUGGUGUGUGCAUGUGUGUGUGUGCUCAUGGUGUGUGCAUGUGUGUGUGAGCUCAUGGUAUGUGUGCAUUCAUGCAUGCAUGUGUAUGUGCUCACAGUGUGUGCACACAUUCACACAUGAAAAAUAGAUUAGUGGUGGGCAUACACUGCAUAUAUGUUUAUGGGGCUUUCUAAACUUUUUUCAUUCCUGAUAUCUGUUCACUGGAGAAUUUUUAGUGACCCUGGAUAUAAUAUAUAUGUGUGUGUGUGUGUGUGUGCAUAUAUAUGUAUAAAUAUGCAUAAUAGAUAUGUAAAUAAAACAUUUGCCAAUAAGCUAUACGUAUAUCUUCCAUAGUGCAAAGUGCUUGAGUCUUACAUUCAGAACUGAGACCACAUGAAGUAGUCUGAAGCUACACAGGCAAAGAAAUACCGUGGAUCCAUUGUAUGUGUUUUCUUUCUAAUUGAAUUUGCUUCUCACACACUCAGAGACCAUUGACCGGUGUCACACUUCUCAGAGUCCUGCCUCUCAGUCUCAUGACUCCAGUGGAGCUCCCACUCAGUGUGUACCCUUUGGUCUGUGGAACAGAGAAAUGGCUUCAGAGCUGGAGGCAUGCUCUAAAAACUGUUCUUCACUGUGCUCCGCGGUUGCCUUGUGUGCUUUGAUGAAGAAGAGAGAUGGAUCAGCAAACAGGAGCCUGUAGAUUGGGAACUCCAGGUGCAUGGACAGA
rnacentral:lncRNA from 1 species